GACGAACGCUGGCGGCGUGCCUAAUACAUGCAAGUCGAACGGGGUGGGGACGGGUGAUUAACACGUGGGUAACCUCCCAUCAGAGGAGAUAACACUUGGAAACAGGUGCUAAACCGAUACGGAUGGGUGGACUGGCGGUGCAUGAGCUAGUUGGUGAGGUAAAGGCUCACCAGGGCCAAGAGGCACAGCCGACCGGAGAGGAUGAUCGGCCAAACUGGGACUGAGACACGGCCCAGACUCCUACGGGAGGCACCAGUAGGGAAGCUUGGGCAAUGGACGAAAGUCUGACCGAGCAACGCCGCGUGAGUGAAGAAGGUUUUCGGAUCGUAAAACUCUGUUGUUAGAGAAGCGGUAGCUAACCAGAAAGCCACGGCUAACUACGUGCCAGCAGCCGCGGUAAUAC
rnacentral:rRNA from 1 species